UACGAAGGGGGCUAGCGUUGUCCGGAAUCACUGGGCGUAAAGCGCGCGCAGGCGGUCAUCUACGUCUGGGGUGAAAGCCCGGGGCUCAACUCCGGAAUUGCCUUUAAGACUGCAUCGCUAGAAUUGUGGAGAGGUAAGUGGAAUUCCGAGUGUAGAGGUGAAAUUCGUAGAUAUUCGGAAGAACACCAGUGGCGAAGGCGACUUACUGGACACAUAUUGACGCUGAGGUGCGAAAGCGUGGGGGAGCAAACAGG
rnacentral:rRNA from 1 species